rnacentral:rRNA from 1 species
UGCAAGUCGUACGAAGGGGCCCAAUGAAAGGAAUUGAAAUUCAGAGUGCUUGCACAAAGAAUGGAUUUUCUUGGAUUUGGAUUUUCCCCUUAGUGGCAAACGGGUGAGUAACACGUGGGUUACCUACCUCUAAGAUGGGGAUAACAGUUGGAAACGACUGAUAAUACCGAAUGUGCUCUACGGAGUAAAGAAGCCCUUAAAGCUUCGCUUAGAGAUGGGCCUGCGGCGUAUUAGCUAGUUGGUGGGGUAAUGGCCUACCAAGGCGACGAUGCGUAGCCGAACUGAGAGGUUGAUCGGCCACACUGGGACUGAGACACGGCCCAGACUCCUACGGGAGACAGCAGUUAGGAAUAUUCGUCAAUGGAGGAAACUCUGAACGAGCAAUGCCGCGUGAACGAUGACGGCCCUAUGGGUUGUAAAGUUCUGUUGUUUGGAAAGAACGAUAGAUAGAGGAAAUGCUAUCUAUGUGACGGUACCAUUCAAGAAAGCCACGGCUAACUACGUGCCAGCAGCCGCGGUAAUACGUAGGUGGCGAGCGUUAUCCGGAUUUAUUGGGCGUAAAGGGUGCGCAGACGGUUUAUUAAGUCUAAAAUCAAAUCUUGGGGCUCAACCCCAUUCCGUUUUAGAAACUGGUAGACUUGAGUAUGGUAGAGGCAAAUGGAAUUCCUAGUGUAGCGGUGGAAUGCGUAGAUAUUAGGAAGAACACCAGUGGC